UUAUUAUUAUGUAUUAUUGAAAGAUAACUUCGAGAUGCGUUCAACCAUUUCUUCUUCUCCUUCACGUUACCUUAGCACCUCAGCCCGUGAGUUUCCCUCCACCGAAGUUCCGCCGCACGCCGUUUGCUCCUCCUGUCGUUUCGUCUUCCGUCGCUAACCCAGACGAAGGCAAGCCGCGUUCCCCGUCGUCUUCCGCCCGAGACAAAACCUCCAGCAGUUUCUCCAUGUCCUGCGCCGCCUCUCCAUUCCAAGCUCCUCCUCCUCUGUUCCCCGCCGCCGCCGGUCUUCUUCCGCGUUUCCCCUCCGACCGAACCCCUGUGGCCUUUCCGCUUCAAGCCGCGCGCGAUUCCUUCUUCUCUCCUAGCCGCGUGUGAGCUUCCAUCCAACCAAGCGGAGUCGCGUGCAAGCCAAGCUAUCUUUUGCCUUUUGCCUAGCCGAGCCGUACAGUGUCCUAUGAGAUCACCACAUAUUGUGCUUGUGUUCCUACAAGACCACUCGACUAUUUAUGUGUUCCUACGGGAUCACUAAACUGAUUAUGUGCAUCCUAUGGGAUCACUAAACUGAUUGACGUGUAUUCUACAGUAUCACUAGAUUAAUUGACAUGCAUCCUAUAUGAUCAAAAGACUGUUAUGAUGUAAGGCAAAGGUAAUACGAGAGUCUGACCAGUGAGGGACAAGAAUAACUCAUGAACACCAAACAUGAACCUUUCAAAUGCUUUCAUUUAACACUUUACUUAUUUUCAAGUUGUGGUGGUUGCAUUGAGUUUUAUGUUUAGAACUACCGUCUGUUUUAUUUUGACUUAAAACACUAAUACUUUUAUAUUUUUAUGUUUAUUUGCAAUAGGGUAUGAACAAAAUUUUCUUUGAUGUUCAUGUUUUGAACAAAUUUUAUAAUCCUUUGUAUUUUAACCAUUUGUUUUGAUCUCUUACGAAUGGAAGUAUAUCUUCGAUUUGAUUUGGUUUGAA